UUGCUUCUUCAUUAGGUAUUUUAGAAAGUUUGGAGUGUUCAUGAAUGUUGUCAUGUGAAUUUUGUUUUCCUUUCAUCUAUUUAAUUCCAUUUCUAUUUUUAUACAUUGAAGUAUAAAUGAAAUUCAUGUCAGUGAGGUUUUUUUUUCUGUUUCGUUUCGUUUCUUUUUAUCUCUGCCUAAUUUAUUUAAUUUAAUUAUGCCACACACAGAAAAACUGUUGUUAUUUUGAAGAAAAAAAAAUGAAUACUAGUAUUUGUCAUGAUAAUCAGUUAUAAUCAGUUUGCUAUCAACCAAGAAUGAUUAAUUAACAAGAGGUGCAACUAAUUAAUUAAUGAAUUUGAUGUGUUUACAGUUUUCUUUAUGAUAAACAACAUCCAGUUUUUGUAAUGUUUAGUAUUUUUCAAAUCAUAUAAAUAUAUUGAAAUUCAUAAAUGCUUGUGAAAAUGAAAUCAUUUUUUAAAAAAAAGAUUCAAUUGCUACAUUUGUAGUAGAAUGACAAUCUUAGAGUAUUAUUAAUAUGUAUUUUUGAUUUUAAUAAUUUUUCAAAGUGAUGAAUUACAAUCCCCUUUCAAAGUGUCCACUUAAAAGGAAAGAUAACUCUUAACAAACCAUAAUUGUACAAAACUUAUAAAUAUUUUAACAAAAAUUAUCACUUUAACAUUAAAAAAAAACUGUUCAGUGAUGUAAUUCUGAUCCACUACUAGUAUUUACCAAAAAUCUAUAUCACUGAAUCAAAUGUUUAAACAUCUUUUUUUUUUUGGAAAACUAGAUUUGGGUUCACUGUUGCCAAGAGCAGAGUUUUAGAGAGAUAAAAAUGUUUUAUAUUAUUAUAUGUAAAUGUGUAGUUGUUUCUACAAAAAAUGCACUUGAAUUAAUAUGUAUAAUUUUUUUCUAACAAAAAAGGAAAAAAGAGAUUGGGGUGUGUGCAUCUUAUAGCAAUAGAACCUUCUGAAUCUCAUUUUGUGUCCCUGGCAUAAAGUAUAAGCAUAGACAAAUAAAAAAUUUGGUUCAU
rnacentral:sRNA from 1 species